UUAUAAAUUACCCAGUCUCAGGUAUGUCUUUAUUAGCAGCAUGAGAACAGACUAAUACACCAACUGCCCAGUGGCUGCAGCACACAGAGGUCAACAACAAUCUCACCUGCACUGUGUCCAAAUCAGAACUAGAUGGAGGCCCACCAAUCAGGACCCCAAAGCUCAGGAUGCCACUGCCUCCUGGUUUCUUAAGCUAGCAAUGUGGGAAUCACCCUUGCCUGGCCUCCUCCCCCAUCUAAUCGAAAGCAAAUCAUGUUCUGCCUUAAAACGCUUUAGUUUCAAGGUUGCAAGUCAAACAUCCUUGAAACUAUUAGAGCAAGCCUUCUAAAAUUACAAGAAAGUUCGUUUCCCUUCUUAGGAAACAGAAAUGCAAUUUUAUGAGGAAGCCAUGCAGAAUACGUACAGAUUUCAUUUAAGUGUUCUAGUAACUGAUAGGCAAAUCAUUGCUAACCUUGUCCUUACUCAUCUGAGAAACCCAACUACAUCUUCCUAAAGCACCCAUGACAGCAGAUUCCCCAUUCAUUCGAGUUCUUCAUUAACAGCCAACAAUCCUCAUUAAUGCUUGGUGAGUGAUUACCAAGGGCUUCCCGAGGGAUAAUUCACUCAGUCCUCAGGCCACUCAGAAGCACAGGUUACUCUAUUCUGAUUUUGCAGAGGAAGAAACAGAGAGAUUAAGCCAAGACCAAACAGCAGUAGGUAGCAGAGAGGUGGCUGCGACAUCUCUUUUCUUUCUCUUCCCCUCUUUUUCUUCCUUUCUCUCUCCCCUCCCCUCCCCUUCUCUUUUCUUUUCUUUUUGUGAGACAGAGUUUUGCUCUUGUUGCCCAGGCUGGAGUGCAAUGGCGCGAUCUCAGCUCACCACAACAUCCGCCUCCUGGGUUCACUCCUGCCUCAGCCUCCCGAGUAGCUGGGAUUACAGGCGUACAUCACCACACCCGCCUAAUUUUGUAUUUUUAGUAGAGAUGGGGUUUCUCCACGUUGGCCAGGCUGGUCUCGACUCCCUACCUCAGAUGAUCCGCCCCCCUCGGCCUCCCAAAGCGCUAGGAUUACCGACGUGAGCCACCGCGCCCAGCUGACAUUUCUUUUCAUUAGUCCAGCCCUCUGCGCCCUCUUCCAAAUGCCUGGCUUCCUCCAGAACCUCCAGAGCACAUUGUUGGGGCCUGAGGAGCAGUGCCAAGGGUCCCGGAAUCCCAUCUGCUCUGAUCAACAGUCACAGGACCGCCGACGAGGAAAGAGGAUUUGCCACCGUCCCCUGACAGGUUCUCCCAACCGCGGGAAGAGAGGUCCGGCCCGCGACGGAGUUCCCAGGAAGAAGGCUGGCUGCAAAAACAUUCCCUUCGCAGCAACUACAAAUACAGAAUUCCUAGGAAGAAAUUUAUAAUCUACCUAAAGAAAGGCACAAAGCUUUACUACGGACCAUAAAGCUUAAAGUAAAUGGAGAGACAAACCACAUUCUUGGAUGGGAAGAUUAUGAAAAUGCUGAUUCUCCCCAAAAUUAAAGCAAAUCCAAUUUAAAUCCCAACAGGUUUUUGCAAACAAGUAGCAAACCAUUCUAAAAUUUGUCUUGAAAAGCCAACACAUUGCAAUAGUCAAGAUCAUUAAAAAAAAAAAAAAAGUAGUGAUGACCAACAAUUUUGAUGUUUGUUUAUGUGUGUCUAUCAGUGCUGGAAGGAAAUAUUGGUGAAUAUAUAAGGAGGAGAGGAACUUUCUGCGUGCACAAGCAAGGAAUAAACCAUAAUAGAAAAGUUUGAUAGAUUUAUGUAUCAAAAGAGCCUAUGAAUGCAAUAAAGAGGCAGAUGUCAAAAUGGAAAAAUACCAGUGACUUCUGAUGGACACAGGUAAUAUUCUUAAUAUACAGAGG
rnacentral:lncRNA from 10 species